UUCAGGAUUAGCAUGUGACUCCUUCCUGACCAAUGAACAUCUUCCUUGGGAUAUUGCCUGGAACUCAUGCAUUGGAGAAGGAAAUGGCAACCCACUCCAGUGUUCUUGCCUGGAGAAUCCCCGGGAGGGGAAGCCUGGUUGGCUGCGGUCUAUGGGGUCGCACAGAGUCGGACACGACUGAAGCAACGCAGCAGCAGCAGCAGGAGGAAAGAAGCACUGUCAGCCAGGGGGACAUGACCCUGGGGCUGGCCAAGGCCAUGGACAGUGGCGCUAACAGGAACUCACAAGAAUCAAGGGGAGAAGCAGAGAUGACUCUGCCCAGGCUGAAGGCACAGGCGCGCCGGGGUGCCACACAGAGCAGGGAGCCCAGCUGCCAGAGACAAGGACUACCAGCGGCAAGUCACCAGUGUCACGUGGUGGGAGAAAGUUGGAGUGGCUGGGAGGAUGCGGAUCGAUGCCGGCGGGUGCGUCCGCUGGCUGUCCCUGCUGCACUGGCCGGGUUGGAGGCCAAGCGUCCGGUGCGCUAUGGAGGCCGUCCUGGGUUCUGACCCACUCCUGCUCCUGGCCACACCAUGCUACUCCUUCUCCCGCCUCCAUCCCUUGACAUCACAGUGAGGUUUUGGGGCAGCACCGUUGACGUCUGGCCACCCUGACUGACCCCAGAUCCGCGUGGUCCCCGGGAGAUGGAGAAUGACACUUAAGAAGCCCCGCUCCUCGCCGCUGCCCUCCUGACACUGAGAACAGCCCUUGUGGCUGACAAAAGCCAAGGCGGCCCAAGUGAGGGCCCCUGCAGGAGCAGGCGCAGCCGUGGACUGCUUAACAUGGCUCCCCCCACCCACUGCCCAGGGGCCCGCAGGCAGGGUCUUGACCUCUCUCGAUGGCCAGUCUCCUCUGCCAGGUCCCCAGGCAGGCCCUCUCCAUCCAGGCCCAGCGCCAAGGCUCUGACCUGUCAGAGCCCUGAUGGCUCUGGUCAGCAGAAUAGUGGGCCCAGGGACGGCCACGUCUGGAUCCCUAGACCAGUGACUCUGGUGGCCUAUGUGAUGAAGGGGAGCCAACAGCUGACCUUGGGGAGAUUCUCCUGGCUGAGGAGGUGGGCCCAAUGCAAAC
ensembl:lncRNA